rnacentral:rRNA from 1 species
AUUGAACGCUGGCGGCAUGCCUUACACAUGCAAGUCGAGCGCGAAAGGGGGCAACCCCGAGUAGAGCGGCGGACGGGUGAGUAACGCAUCGGAACGUGCCCAGUAGUGGGGGACAACCUCGAGAAAUCGAGGCUAAUACCGCAUACGACCCACGGGUGAAAGCGGGGGACCGCAAGGCCUCGCGCUAUUGGAGCGGCCGAUGUCCGAUUAGCUAGUUGGCGGGGUAANAGCCCACCAAGGCGACGAUCGGUAGCUGGUCUGAGAGGACGACCAGCCACACUGGGACUGAGACACGGCCCAGACUCCUACGGGAGGCAGCAGUGGGGAAUUUUGGACAAUGGGGGCAACCCUGAUCCAGCCAUGCCGCGUGCGGGAAGAAGGCCUUCGGUGUAA